GCCGGGUUGGCGGAAUAGGCAGACGCGAUGGUCUCAAAAACCAUUGUCCGAAAGGACGUGCGGGUUCAAGUCCCGCACCCGGCA
rnacentral:tRNA from 1 species